GGCUCUUYGUAAAAUAAAAAUAGGGAGUCGUMCCUGCCCGGUGAAUUAUUUUAACGGCCGCGGUACUCUGACCGUGCAAAGGUAGCAUAAUCAUUUGCCUUAUAAUUGAAGGCUAGUAUGAAUGGUUUGACAAGAAUAUAACUGUCUCUUUUUAAUUGAUUAAAAUUUUAUUUGCAAGUGAAGAAGCUUGCAUGUGAUUGAUAGACAAGAAGACCCUGUCGAGCUUUAAAGAAAUUGGUGGAUUAAAGUUAAUAGAUUUAGAAAAUAUAACUGUUGUAUAUUUUGGUUGGGGCGACUGAGGAACAAGUAAAGCUUCCUUUUAUAAAAAUGCAAAUUAGCAAUGAGCCAAAAAAUUUUGAUCAAAAGAAUUAGUUACCGCAGGGAUAACAGCAUAAUCCUCUUUGAGAGUUCAUAUCGAAAGGGGGGUUUGUGACCUCGAUGUUGGACCAGAAUAUCCUAAAGAUGCAGCCGUCUUUAAGGGUUGGUCUGUUCGACCAUUAAAAUUCUACG
rnacentral:rRNA from 1 species